AUCUUUCAUAGACACACACGUCAAACUAAUGAAGCAUAGCACAAGUUCAGUCAGGCAAGACCGAUCCCUGCACUCUGGCAUACUCGAUAAUGUCCACUAAUCACUCCUCCCGCUAAGAGCGCUCUACUUCUUCUGUUCCUAUUUCGGGCUUUCAUUACGGUUUUCUACCUGAGGUUUUUCUGCGCCGUCCUGAAAUCAGCUGGCCCGAGGUUGGCGAGGGACUCGAUGGGUGAAUCGUUGUUGCGUUGGUGUUCUAUUCCGCUUGGUCGUGAGUUCUGUCCUUUCCAGCGGAGGACGGAAUUCAGAGGGUAGGCCUACUUGACGCUGAUCGGGGAUCCCGUUGACGGUAAGGCCAUCAUAUAGGCUAGGCUACGGCCUGAGUAUGCUGAGGAAUCUGUCCCUGCAGGAUGCAGAAAAGGUCUUCAUCUCUGGACCAGUUUAUCAUCGGAGUGAAGUGGCAGAGUAUCUAAACAAUUGCUCACUGAAGGGAGACCAUUCAACCAGAUGAAGUCGGAUGGAGGUCUAGAUAGAGGUCUAGAUGGAGUGAUAUGGAGGGGAUGGAGUGAUAUGGAGGGGUGAUUGUCAUUGUUUAACAAUUAUUCAAAAUAAACAAUGUAUAUCUUG